GACGUAGGAUGCGAGCGUUUGUCCGGAUUCAUUGGGCGUAAAGAGUUCGUAGGCGGUUUGUUAAGUCUGAUGUUAAAGAUCGGGGCUCAACCCUGGGAGUGCAUUGGAUACUGGCAGACUGGAGUGCAGUAGAGGCGAGUGGAAUUCCCAGUGUAGCGGUGAAAUGCGUAGAUAUUGGGAAGAACACCGGUGGCGCAGGCGACUCGCUGGGCUGUAACUGACGCUGAGGAACGAAAGCUAGGGGAGCAAAUGGG
rnacentral:rRNA from 1 species